CCAGCUGUUCUAACACCUCCUGCCUGCCAGUACUGACUCUUUAUGCAUGGGGGCUUCCGGCUUAUCUAUACUUCGAAGACAGUGAACUAGGUUAACCAGAUAUAGGACUCCUCUGUCUUGCUACGAUGGACAGCCACAAGGAUUCACUUGAAUAAAAGAAGCAACAGUGGGUGCCAGGCUGUUUGAAUUCUUAUUCGGGGUCCAGAGAGAUGGGUAAGAGCAUUUGUUGCUCUUGCAGCGGACCUGGGUUUGGUGUCUAACAUCCAUGUGGUGGCUCACAUCCAUCAGUAACUCCAUUCGAGGAGAUCCAAUACCCUCUACUGCCCUCCUCUAGUACCACACAGAAAUGUGCUGUUUUGUUAUACAUUUAUUACAAAGAAUCUCACAAAAAGAAAAUAUUUCAAAAAGAAUGCCAGGCUAAAGAACCUCCACCUGGAGAACUGGGGGAAGGCAGGGCAAUGUAAGUUCUUCUGCCUGCCCAAGACCUGUGGAAGAUAUAAACAGAACCAGUCUAAAAAUGGCUGAUAUUACCCAAGCCUGAAAAGGGCUCACAGAACACCAAGUCACCCCUGCUAGAAAGCUUAAUCAGGGCAUCUUAACAGAGCUCCUAAGCAGGCUUGGCAGUUCAGGAUUUUGUCUUCUGGUUGUUUUCUUUUCCACUUAGAAUAUCAACGUCAACAUACAGCACCCUCUGGCCAUACUUUAGCAGUUCCAGGAUGGCCAAGACGACAUCGUUGAUGUAACAGAAACCUGAGGCGUCAGACUUCUUUACAUGAUGCAGUCCCCCAGCCUGGCUCGCAGUGAUGUCCCUCUGAUGUGUAUCAAGUUUCACAGCACUUUCCAAAGAGCCACCAAUAGACAACUGACAACUCAGACAGGCCAUCGAUUACCGGGAAGUCCUCACCAACGCGGAAUCUCUGCAUCUGCUUGCUGUAUUUAGACACAUUAUCUGGGCGAAUAGAGCACAAGAGUUUAAUGUAGUCAUCACUGUGGGACUUGGUCAUCUCCUCAGCGUUGGCUCUGUGAGGACGAUAGAUUUCCAUUUUUUGGUAGAGAUGUAGUUGAGCUGCAAAUCACGAGUCAUGUGGAUUCGGUGAGGCUUCAUUGGGUGGCCCUGUCCAUAAGAUAGUUUCCAACAUCCCUGUUAACAGACGUUCCUCUUGCCCUGAGUCUGUGCCAUCUUUCUCACCACCCAGUGCUCCUGCCAGUCUGAUGUUUUAAUAUUUUUAGAUGGUGAUGCUUUGAGUUUAAAUGGCCUUUGACAAAUUCUAUCCUAAUUUCUAAUUAAGACAAGGAAAGAAAACAAAGAUGGAUAAGGACCAUAAAGUAAUGAAUGGACUGGAAACAGAAGUAAACUUAUUCAACAAUAAAA
rnacentral:lncRNA from 1 species